UGUACAUUUUCAGAAUGUGCUUGUUCUAUUUUUACACAAAGAUCUGAAGAUAUCUUUAUUUUUAAGUUAUCGUGCUGUGAUUUGACCAGUGUGGCCCAUGUGGGAGUAGAUUUUUCUCCAUUUGGUCCCUGAUCUAAAAUGAGUUUGACACCCCUUCUCUAAGUGGUCGUUUGGCUCCAUAUACCAGUCGCAUAACACAUGAUAUAAAAAAAAUCCUUAUUUCCUGCCCCUUUCUUUUAGAAAAAUUACAAUAAAAUGGUCUAGAAGUUAGAUGGUGUAACAAAACAACACCAUUAUGAUUUGUACAUUUUCAGAAUGUGCUUGGUUUAUUUUUAAACAAACAGCAGAAGGUUUCUUUAUUUUUAAGUUAACAUGCCGUGAUUUUACCAGUCCGGCCCACUUGGGAGUAGAUUUUUCUCCAUUUGGCCCGCGAUCUAAAAUGAGAUUGACACCCCUGGUUUAGAGUGUCCGACCUGAAAUUGGUAGGUCUUGAGUUCAAACCAAAGACUAUAAAAAUGGGACCUAUUACCUCUCUGCUUGACACUGAGCAUCAAGAAAAGGAAGUGGGGGUUGAAUCACCAAAUAUGCUUCCUGGGCGCGGCCACAACUGCUGCUCACUGCUCCCCUCACCUCCCAGGGGGGUGAACAAGGGGAUGGGUCAAAUGCAGAGGACACAUUUUGUCACGCCUAGUGUGUAUGUGUGUGACUAUCAUUGGUACUUUGGUACCAUCGACUGGUGUAAAAGAUGCCGGAGAUGAGCCUUAAAAUAAAAACUACUUUAAUGCACUGAACUCAUAAAAGCUACAAAACAUACAAACAAGUACGUCACAGCAAAACUACAUUUUUAAUCACGUUUUUAACCACCAAAAUUAAAGGUUUUUUCUCCAAUCAAUUAAAUGUACUAAAUGUGGAUCAAAUAAUACAACAAAUUAAAAACACAACGCCAGGAAGAAACCAACAGCCUGUCAUAUUCUUUUAUAUAAAAAUGAUAGAAUCAUAAGCAGGCGCAGGGGAAAAAAAAGUUAGGAUGAAGAUGUGAGUUUUGUUCCCAUGAAAAUGUAUCAGCUUUACAGAAGAGUCCCAAAAACAGAGUUGAGCACACAUGAAGGGACCUCGGCCCGUCUUCUCUGAUUAGCCACAGAAAAACUAAAGGACCUUUCCAAAUGUUCUUGUAAUCAGACAAUAUUUUCGGUAGAGAUGUCCGAUAAUGGCUUUUUUUUGCCAAUAACCGAUAUUCCGAUAUUGUCCAACUCUUAAUUACCGAUUCCGAUAUCAACCGAUACCGAUAUAUACAGUCGUGGAAUUAACACAUUAUUAUGCCUAAUUUUGUUAUGAUGCCCCGCUGGAUGCAUUAAACAAAAUAAGGUUUUCCAAAAUAAAUCAUCUCAAUGCCAUAUUUAUUAUUAAAGUCACAAAGUGCAUUAUUUUUUUUAACAUGCCUAAAAACGGCAGCUUGGAAUUUGGGACAUGCUCUCCCUGAGAGCAUGAGGAGGUUGAGGUGGGGGGAGGGUAGCGGAGGUUGUAUAUUGUAGCGUCCCGAAAGAGUUAGUGCUGCAUGGGAUUCUGGGUAUUUCUUCUCUUGUGUUUAUGUUGUGUUACGGUGCGGAUUUUCUCCCAAAAUGUGUUUGUCAUUCUUGUUUGGUGUGGGUUCACAGUGUGGCACAUAUUUGUAACAGUGUUAAUGUUGUUUAUACCACCACCCUCAGUGUGACCUGUAUGGCUGUUGACCAAGUGAGAGAGCAUGAGGAGGUUGAGGUGGGGGGAGGGUAGCGGAGGGUGUAUAUUGUAGCGUCCCGGAAGAGUUAGUGCUGCAUGGGAUUCUGGGUAUUUCUUCUGUUGUGUUAUGGUGCGGAUUUUCUCCCGAAAUAUAAAUGAUAAAUGGGUUGUACUUGUAUAGCGCUUUUCUACCUUCAAGGUACUCAAUGCGCUUUGACACUACUUCCACAUUUACCCAUUCACACACACAUUCACACACUGAUGGAGGGAGCUGCCAUGCAAGGCACCAACCAGCACCCAUCAGGAGCAAGGGUGAAGUGUCUUGCUCAACGGACGUGACGAGGUUGGUACUAGGUGGGAUUUGAACCAGGGACCCUCGGGUUGCGCACAGCCGGUUGCGCACAGCCACUCUCCCACUGCGCGACGCCGUCCCUAAAAAUGUGUUUGUCAUGUGUUUGAAAUGUGUUGGUCAUUCUUGUUUGGUGUGGUUUCACAGUGUGGCGCAUAUUUGUAACAGUGUUAAAGUUGUUUAUACCACCACCCCCAGUGUGACCUGUAUGGCUGUUGACCAAGUAUGCCUUACAUUCACUUGUGUGUGUAAAAAGCCAUAGAUAUGUGACUGGGCAGGCACGCAAAGGCAGUGCCUUUAAGGUUUAUUGGCACUCUGUAUUUCUCCCUAUGUCCGUGUACACGGCUGCGUUUUAAAAAGUCAUAAAUUUUACUUUUUUAAACCAAUAUCGAUAAUUUCUGAUAUUACAUUUUAAAGAUUUUAUCGGGCGAUAAUAUCGGCAGUCCGAUAUUAUCAGACAUCUCUAAUUUUAGGUAUAUUAGAUGGAAUUUUUGGGUAACAAAACCAUCUAAUACACCGAAAAUAUUGUCUGAUUGGAAGAAAAUGUGAAAUUAUAUGAGGAAGAAGACAUAAUGAAACUUUUUGAGAAACUAAAGGACCGUUCCUGCUCUCUGCUCUUCAAACCAAAAGACCGGGGGUUAAGAAUGUUUUUUGUGUGGGGACACAAAGCCUGAUAGUCGUAGUGAAAAUAACAAGUCACAUGUGUGCACGCUCUCCGUGGUGAUGAAUGGAGAGAAGAAUGGCGCCUAAUUGCGCGGCUGCGUGAGUCAGACCCCCGACCACCGUGCUCGGCCUUUGUCGUACGCUGCUCUCGUUACACCCGUGUGACGUCAAUGCUGUUCUUUCCGCCGCUGUGCAAUGUCUGGAUCACGAUGUUGUCGAUGAUUCUAAUAACCUCGCACGAGCCGUGACGCUAAUUAUCAUGUUUUGUUCCAGCUUCGGAAGAUUUAUUCUUGACGACUGAAGCGAAUGUGCCCAUUUUAAGUCAACCGCACGACGACAGCCGCGGCGAGUUGAGCGACAUUCCUGAUUUGAAAGCAACAUUUUUCUUUCUUAUGACGCUGGCAUGGAAACAGGAGCUCAGAACGUUAAAAAUAAUACCUUCGAAGUCCAAACGCCCCCAAAAGCGGUCCACAAUCGUCCGAACAAAAUAUCGCUCCGAAGUCAAUUUGUGUUUCGAGAAAGCUCCGCAGGUGAAGGUACUGAGCUAACGUCUUUCUGCUUUAUAAGAUGCUGGCAUGGAAACAGGAGUUCAGAACAUUUAGCGAGAUUAAAAGUAAUACCUCCACAUUGGGUUGGGUGAACUAGACCAGUGUUUUUUCAACCAGUGUGCUGUGGGAGAUUAUGUAAUUUCAUAGGCAACACGGUGCAACAGGGGUUAGUGCAUGUACCUCACAAUAGGAAAGUCCUGGGUUCGAUCCUGGGUUCAGGAUCUUUCUGUGUGGAGUUUGCAUGUCCUCCCUGUGACUGCAUGGGUUCCCUUCGGGAACUCCGGCUUCGUCUCACCCCCAGAGAAGAGUACCUGGGGAUAGGUUGAUUGGCAACACUAAAUUGGCCCUAGUGUGUGAAUGUGAGUGUGACUGUUGUCCGUCUAUCGAUGUUGGCUCUGCGAUGAGGUGGCGACUUGUCCAGGGUGUAGCUCGCUUUCCGCCCAAAGCAGCUGAGUUGAAGUGGCCGGGGUUUGGUGCUAGCAGGGGUGUAUAAUGGAGCCCGGAAGAGUCGGGGAUACAUGGGAUUCUGGGUAUUUGUAAAGUUGCGUUUAUAAUGUGUUACAGCGCGGACGUUCUCCCGAAAUGUGUUUGUCAUUCUUGUUUGGUGUAGGUUCACGGUGUGGCGCAUAUUAGUAAGAGUGUUAAAGUUGUUUAUAUCACAACCCUCAGUGUAACCUGUAUGGCUGUUGAGUAAGUAUGCCUUGCAGUCGGUCAUGUUUGUCUGCAGAAGCCUCAUACAAUAUGCGAAUGGGCUGGUAAGCUUUUUGUUACAGUUGUGGAGGGCGCUAAACACACUGUCAUCAUAGCAUGCCCUUAUUAUUGUUGUUUGGGUGAAAACCUGUAGACAGUCGAGAGAAAGGUUGCUCUGAAACUCGGUAGUCUCCCGGAAAAAUUGAGAUGGUUGGCAAAUUUGGUGUUGUCAAGUAGCAUUCAAAUAAAACUAGCACUAAUAUAAAAUUUUCAUAUUAAGGUGCGGGUCAUGUGUCUGAGAUCCCUGUUGAAUACAUAGCACAAAGCAAAACCAAACUUUGUACGCUGUGUUAUUUCAUUUUAAAUUUCAAAAGAGUCUUGUGGCUCCCAUAGUUUUCUUUAUUUUGUGAAACGGGUCAAAAUGGCUCUUUGAGUGGUAAAGGUUGGCGACCCCUGCUGUAGAUGAUGGUAAAUAUGUACAAAAUAAAUCACAUGUUAGUACAUCAAUCGAGGAAAAUGAUCAAACUACAUACAUGGCAUACUGUCAUUUGAUUUUGAUAUUUUUUUAUCUUGAUAGAUUGAAAAUGAACACCAUUGAGUUGACUGAAUAUCACAUCAUUCAUUCAGAAAAUAUAAAUAACGACAAAUAAAAACAGAAUACUACUAACCGCAACAUGUAAGUGUAAAAAAAACAUUAUGAUUUGUACAUUUUCAGAAUGUGCUUCUUCUAUUUUUAAACACAGAAAGCAAUCUGAUUGUGUCUUCAUUUUUAAGUUAUCGUGCAGGGAUUUUACCAGUCCGGCCCACUUGGGAGUAGAUUUUUCUCCAUGUGGCCCCCGAUCUAAAAUGAGUUUGACACCUCUGAUAUAAAUGAUAUUUCAAUACUAUGGUCAAAUCACUGUAGCUUCCUCAUUAGCCAGCUAGCUUCUAAAUUACAAUUGUAUUUUGCGGGCAGUAGAGAGCACCGGUAUUUAAGAUGCACCCACCUAAUUCUAGAAGGAAUAAAUGUAUACAUAUAUUUUGUACAUUUUUUCCAAACGGUGCCUGUCACACAAAAGUCAUUGUUGUGGACCCACUAGCUACGGAAGCUAGCUCUCCAAUCAACUAAACAGACUCAAUAACUCCACAAAGACGUUUUGGUAAAAUUGCGAUACUGAAACAAUACAAAAAGAAUGCCAAUGUAGGUUAAAAAUACCAACAAAGACACUUGUAAAUGUGUUAGCAUAUUAGCUAAUGCUAACAACGCUAGUUUGAUUACGUUACGAUAGCAUGUACAAAUAUGCAUGAAAGCACUCCGACAGACAUCACACAUGGGACUGUUUAGUGAGUAUGGAUUGUUUUAGUUAUAUUGUUAAACUUACAAACGUUGCUUGGAGUGACGAAUGAAGAAUCCUUUCGGGCAGAAACGCUACAGAAAAAUAGAAGAUAAAACGGGAUGUAAUAAGUUGUAUUAACACUAUCUGGUCGGACCCAAUGUGUCCGUAAUGAUAACAACAUCCAGUUUCACUGCUACUGAUAUUAGCCUGCCACAAGGCUCUAAUAUCGGCCCUCUUUUUUUCUCCAUGUGUAUAAACGACCUAUGUGAGGAUGUAAAUAUCCAGAUGUAUGCAGACGACACGGUUAUUUAUACUUGGGGAAAGGACGCUGAAACGGUUGCCAGAAAACUUACAGCAGCCAUGGAGAAGGUGGCAAGAUGGCUACAUGACUCUUGUCUUACAUUAAACAUUAAGAAAACGGCAACAAUAUAUUUUGUAAACAAAUAUAAAAUGCCAUCCUUUCCAAAUAUAACGGUUAAUAAAGAAAUAAUACAAAAUGUUAGUGAAUAUCGCAACCUGGGUGUCAUUUUAGACCCAACACUUUAAAAAACAUAUCAAACAGAUGUGCCAGAGUCAUAAAUACAACAUAAAAAUGUUCAAAUGUAUCAGGAAUUCAUUAACACUGGAGGCAGCUCAAACUUAUUUUAAUGCAAUGAUUAUGUCUCCUUUUUAUUAUUGUAUAACAUGUUGGUCGCAGGCCAGCAAAAUGACACUGAGGCCAUUGGGAAGUUUGCACAGAUAAUCGCACAAAAUCCUCGACCAAAAACCACAACAUCACUGUUCAGUUCUCCAAAAAUAUAGAUUGUUAAAUUCAAAGAUUAGCAUCAAUACGAAUGGCCCAUCGAAUCCUAAAUAACACUGCACCAUCGCCACUUAAGCACUUUGUCCAGUUUACAUCUGCAGUGACAACUAGAAACACACGAGCAUCCACCAGGGGGCGGUGUAGCGUUCAUUCACAAUUGAAGUUCAAAAGUGGCUUUGGAGCGAUCAAAGCUGCUCACACGGUCACUAAGGUGGCCACUUUUUUGACAGAUCAACUUAAUGUGUAUUAUAUUUAUCCAUGAGAGCAUUUUUGUUGUAAAUUCUGAGGUGUGUCUGUUAAAAUCAUGGUUGUUUUUACAAAUGAUGACGGAUGUAAACGAAAGCAUGUAUUGUUUUUGUGUGAUGAUGUAAAUGAGGUGUGGUUGUAUUGUAUAUUAAGUAUGUGUCCAUGAAAGGGCAUUUUAUGACUUUUCUUAAUUUGAUUACAUGCUACGGUAUGAUUUUAUUGUAUGAUUUUUGUAUCCCUUUAAUUUAAGUAGCCAGGGACGGCAGAUGGAAAUGAGCUAUUUAGCUAUAAUCUGGAACAGAACAUAUCUGUUUUAGAGCUUAAUGUUUCUGUGCAUUGUCCCUUCAAAAAAAGACUAAACUGCGUAUCACGAUGGUGUUGACGUGAUUGGAUUAUUGCUGUCAUAUUUUUUUUUUACCAGUAACGGAGCAGGAGGCAGCUCAGAAUACAUUUACGGAAAAUUUCAUAUGAAUUACCCUGCCAUUUAUUAACUGAAAUUUCACUUAAGUUUCUUCAUGCGAGAAGCGUGUAGGAAGCGUACAAUUUGUAGUUUUAUACCAAAAUGUACAGGGAGGGGAGGAAGCAAGGGGAAUGCCUCAAAAGUCAAGUCACUUCAGAACUCAGUAUAAAGCGUUUUAGUUUUUCUCUGGCUUUCUUGUGACGCCCCAAUAGAUGGAUACCAAUAAUGUCCAAAGAGGAAAAGUGUGACGAUAGCCAUAGAAUUGUCUGCUCAGUACAAUAAGGGCAAUUGAAUAAUACAUCUACAAAUGUCAUUGUGCCUGGAUGAUUCUAACAUGACUAAUUCAAAGAAUUGUCCACCAGAGUUGACUACAAACUUUGUGAAAUGUCCUCGUAUUUGUGUCCUAGCUUGGGGUAUAAGUUGUGCAAACCAGGAAGUACUUUUAGCAAUAACGUCACUAAGUCUGGUCAUGUGGAGGUAAGCUCACGAGUUGUCGGAGGGAACGUGCUCCUCGAAGCCCUCACUCUCGCGGACCAGCGCCCUCUCCAGGAUGACGCGGCCCUCCUUGUAGCGCUGGCUGUCCUCGGUGGCGAACUCGUAGAUCCAGCCCAGCUUGCUGUUGCAGUUCUUGCAGCUGACGUCUCUCACCAUGUGUCUGCCUGUCAGCAUCACGCGGUCCUGGACCUCGCUGUACUGCAGGUUGACCACCUGUGCACACAAUUAAAAACGUACGUAAGUGUAUACACAAUGUAUAGGCUGAAACAUUGUGUCUCAUAUUGUUCUGGUCCGAGCCUGCAGGUGGCGAUAAUACGCACUUUAAGCCUUUGUGUGGAAAUGAGGCUCACCUCCCCGGCACACUCAGUGAUCAUUAACAGAGCUACUGACCAGGUGACCAGUACUGCAGACGAUCAGCACUGCAAGGACAAAAGGGGGGCGUGGACCCGUGAGCACCGCAGUGAAUGCAGCCUGAGCAGACCGAAGAAAAUUCUCACAAGUACCUCAAAUAAAUGCCCUUUCAGAUAUCAAAA